rnacentral:rRNA from 1 species
AAUCAACGCUGGCGGCGUGCCUAACACAUGCAAGUCGAACGAGAAAGGGGAGCAAUCCCUGAGUACAGUGGCGACCGGGUGAGUAACACGUGACUACCUACCCUUGAGUGGGGGAUAACCCCGGGAAACCGGGGCUAAUACCGCAUAAUAUCGAAAGAUCAAAGGAGAAAUCCGCUUUUGGAGGGGGUCGCGGCUGAUUAGCUAGUUGGUGAGGUAAUGGCUCACCAAGGCGAAGAUCGGUAUCCGGCCUGAGAGGGCGCACGGACACAC